rnacentral:rRNA from 1 species
UACAGAGGUCCCAAGCGUUGUUCGGAAUCACUGGGCGUAAAGGGCGCGUAGGCGGCCCGGUAAGUAGGGGGUGAAAUCCUGCGGCUUAACCGCAGGGCUGCCUUCUAAACUGUCGGGCUCGAGCACGGUAGAGGCAGAUGGAAUUCCCGGUGUAGCGGUGAAAUGCGCAGAUAUCAGGAGGAACACCUAUUGCGAAGGCAGCUCGCUGGGACGUAACUGACGCUGAGACGCGAAAGCGUGGGGAGCAAACAGG